CAGCAGCCGCGGGAAUACGGAGGGUGCAAGCGUUAAUCGGAAUUACUGGCGUAAAGCGUGCGUAGGCGGUUCGUUAAGUCUGUUGUGAAAGCCCCGGGCUCAACCUGGGAAUGGCAAUGGAUACUGGCGAGCUAGAGUGUGUCAGAGGAUGGUGGAAUUCCCGGUGUAGCGGUGAAAUGCGUAGAGAUCGGGAGGAACAUCAGUGGCGAAGGCGGCCAUCUGGGACAACACUGACGCUGAGGCACGAAAGCGUGGUGAGCAAACAGGAUUAGAUACCCCCGUAGUCCCUGUCUCUUAUACC
rnacentral:rRNA from 1 species